GGCUCAGGAUGAACGCUGGCGGCGUGCUUAACACAUGCAAGUCGAACGAUGAUGCCCACUUGUGGGUGGAUGAGUGGCGAACGGGUGAGUAACACGUGAGUAACCUGCCCUUGACUCUGGGAUAAGCCUGGGAAACUGGGUCUAAUACCGGAUAUGACCUUCCAUCGCAUGGUGGUUGGUGGAAAGCUUUUGUGGUUUUGGAUGGACUCGCGGCCUAUCAGCUUGUUGGUGGGGUAAUGGCCUACCAAGGCGACGACGGGUAGCCGGCCUGAGAGGGUGACCGGCCACACUGGGACUGAGACACGGCCCAGACUCCUACGGGAGGCAGCAGUGGGGAAUAUUGCACAAUGGGCGCAAGCCUGAUGCAGCGACGCCGCGUGAGGGAUGACGGCCUUCGGGUUGUAAACCUCUUUCAGUAGGGAAGAAGCGUAAGUGACGGUACCUGCAGAAGAAGCGCCGGCUAACUACGUGCCAGCAGCCGCGGUAAUACGUAGGGCGCAAGCGUUAUCCGGAAUUAUUGGGCGUAAAGAGCUCGUAGGCGGUUUGUCGCGUCUGCCGUGAAAGUCCGGGGCUCAACUCCGGAUCUGCGGUGGGUACGGGCAGACUAGAGUGAUGUAGGGGAGACUGGAAUUCCUGGUGUAGCGGUGAAAUGCGCAGAUAUCAGGAGGAACACCGAUGGCGAAGGCAGGUCUCUGGGCAUUAACUGACGCUGAGGAGCGAAA
rnacentral:rRNA from 2 species